rnacentral:sRNA from 1 species
GCGAUCCUCUUUCAUCACAGGUGAGUAUGGCGUGUU